rnacentral:rRNA from 1 species
GAUUAGUGGCGAACGGGUGAGUAACACGUGAGUAACCUGCCCCUGACUUCGGGAUAACUUCGAGAAAUCGUGGCUAAUACCGGAUAUGACACGUGCCUGCAUGGGUGUGUGUGGAAAGAUUUAUCGGUUGGGGAUGGGCUCGCGGCCUAUCAGCUUGUUGGUGGGGUGAUGGCCUACCAAGGCGACGACGGGUAGCCGGCCUGAGAGGGUGACCGGCCACACUGGGACUGAGACACGGCCCAGACUCCUACGGGAGGCAGCAGUGGGGAAUAUUGCACAAUGGGCGAAAGCCUGAUGCAGCGACGCCGCGUGAGGGAUGACGGCCUUCGGGUUGUAAACCUCUUUCAGUAGGGAAGAAGCUCUUCGGAGUGACGGUACCUGCAGAAGAAGCGCCGGCUAACUACGUGCCAGCAGCCGCGGUAAUACGUAGGGCGCAAGCGUUGUCCGGAAUUAUUGGGCGUAAAGAGCUCGUAGGCGGUUUGUCGCGUCUGCUGUGAAAACGCAAGGCUUAACCUUGCGCCUGCAGUGGGUACGGGCAGACUAGAGUGCGGUAGGGGAGACUGGAAUUCCUGGUGUAGCGGUGGAAUGCGCAGAUAUCAGGAGGAACACCGAUGGCGAAGGCAGGUCUCUGGGCCGUUACUGACGCUGAGGAGCGAAAGCAUGGGGAGCGAACAGGAUUAGAUACCCUGGUAGUCCAUGCCGUAAACGUUGGGCACUAGGU